AAGCUCACUCACAUUCAAUGAGUGGAGGUUCAAAAAGCUCAGAUUGAAUCUCCACUCAUUGAGUGUGAGAGAGC